rnacentral:rRNA from 1 species
CGGCGGACGGGUGAGUAAUGCUUAGGAAUCUGCAUAUUAUGGGGGACAACAUCUCGAAAGGGAUGCUAAUACCGCAUACGUCCUACGGGAGAAAGCAGGGGACCUUCGGGCCUUGCGCUAAUAGAUGAGCCUAAGUCGGAUUAGCUAGUUGGUGGGGUAAAGGCCUACCAAGGCGACGAUCUGUAGCGGGUCUGAGAGGAUGAUCCGCCACACUGGGACUGAGACACGGCCCAG